UUCGCAAUGCCCGAAAGGGUGACGAAGCGACGCCGCGUGUGGGAAGAAGGCCUUCGGGUUGUAAACCACUGUCGGGAGUUAAGAAAUGCAAGGAUAUUAAUAGUGUCUUUGUUUGACUAAGGCUCCGGAGGAAGCCACGGCUAACUCUGUGCCAGCAGCCGCGGUAAUACAGAGGCGGCAAGCGUUGUUCGGAAUUAUUGGGCGUAAAGAGCACGUAGGCGGCUAUGUAAGUCGGUUGUGAAAGCCUUCCGCUCAACGGAAGAACAGCAUCCGAUACUACAUGGCUUGAGUGCGGGAGGGGAGAGUAGAACUUCUGGUGGAGCGGUGAAAUGCGUAGAUAUCAGAAGGAACGCCGGCGGCGAAAGCGGCUCUCUGGCCCAUAACUGACGCUGAGUGUGCGAAAGCUAGGGGAGCAAACGGGAUUAGAUACCCCGGUAGUCCUAGCCGUAAACGAUGGGCACUAAGUAGAGGGGUUUU
rnacentral:rRNA from 1 species